rnacentral:rRNA from 1 species
UACGUAGGCAGCGAGCGUUGUUCGGAGUUACUGGGCGUAAAGCGUGCGUAGGCGGUUUUGUAAGUUUGGUGUGAAAUCUCCCGGCUCAACUUGGAGGGUGCGCCGAAAACUGCAAGGCUGGAGUGUGGGAGAGGUAGGCGGAAUUCCUGGUGUAGCGGUGAAAUGCGUAGAUAUCAGGAGGAACACCUGUGGUGUAGACGGCUUACUGGACCAUGACUGACGCUGAGGCACGAAAGCGUGGGGAGCAAACAGG